AAACAGCCCCCUAUGUUUUGAUUCUUUGACAGUUUUGGACCCCCAGUCCAUUGUUGACUCGGUCAACGCUGACGUGGCACCCUAAGUGAGGUGUCAUGUGUCAAAUUUUUUAUUUAUUUUUUGCCUUGGGGGUCCAAAACUGCCAAAGAAUCAAAACAUAAGGGGCUGUUU
rnacentral:pre_miRNA from 1 species